CAGUAGCGUAUGCUAAAGUUGUUGCAGUUGAAAAGCUCGUAGUUGGAUUUCUGGCUAGGCACAUCCUGUCAUUUCCUACUCCUUUGUGAGAAUGUGACAUGUACAGGGUAACCCAUUUUGGGCUAGGUGCGUUGCGUUCAUCAACUUUGUUGGUGGGCGUAGUGCAUCGUGCCGGCCAUCCUCUCAGAGAGCGUUGCUUUCCCUUGAUUGGGUAGGGCAGCGCGAUCUGAGUCUUUUACUUUGAAUAAAUUAGAGUGUUUAAAGCAGGCUUAUGCUAUGAAUACACGAGCAUGGAAUAAUAAGAUAGGACUUUGAUCUUAUUUUGUUGGUUCUAAGAUCGAAGUAAUGAUUGAUAGGGAUAGUUGGGGGUGCUAGUAUUCGACGGCCAGAGGUGAAAUUCUUGGAUUCGUUGAAGACUAACUAAUGCGAAAGCAUUCACCAAGGAUGUCUUCUUUAAUCAAGAACGAAAGUCAAGGGAUCGAAGAUGA
rnacentral:rRNA from 1 species